rnacentral:rRNA from 1 species
GACGAACGCUGGCGGCGUGCUUAACACAUGCAAGUCGAACGGUGAUGCUCCAGCUUGCUGGCGUGGAUCAGUGGCGAACGGGUGAGUAACACGUGAGCAACCUGCCCCAGACUCUGGAAUAAGCGCUGGAAACGGCGUCUAAUACUGGAUACGAAACUGGCCCGCAUGGGCAUGGUUUGGAAAGUUUGUCGGUUUGGGAUGGGCUCGCGGCCUAUCAGCUUGUUGGUGAGGUAAUGGCUCACCAAGGCGACGACGGGUAGCCGGCCUGAGAGGGCGACCGGCCACACUGGGACUGAGACACGGCCCAGACUCCUACGGGAGGCAGCAGUGGGGAAUAUUGCACAAUGGGCGAAAGCCUGAUGCAGCGACGCCGCGUGAGGGAUGACGGCCUUCGGGUUGUAAACCUCUUUCAGCAGGGAAGAAGCGAAAGUGACGGUACCUGCAGAAGAAGCACCGGCUAACUACGUG